GUGUCAGCAGCCGCGGUAAUACGGAGGGUGCAAGCGUUAUUCGGAAUUACUGGGUUUAAAGGGUGCGUAGGCGGUUAAAUAAGUUGUCAGUGAAAGGCUACGGCUCAACUGUAGUAGUGCUGGCGAUACUGUAUAACUAAGAACAUGGGAGGGGUACCUGGAAUGUGUGGUGUAGCGGUGAAAUGCGUAGAUAUCACACAGAACACCGGAGGCAAAGGCGGGGUACUAGACCAUAGUUGACGCUGAGGCACGAAAGCGUGGGGAUCAAACAGGAUUAGAUACCCUGGUAGUCCACGCCCUAAACGAUGAUCACUAGAGAUUGGCGACAGACAGUGUCCAAGCGAAAGUGAUAAGUGAUCCACCUGGGGAAUACGGCCGCAAGGUUAAAACUCAAAGGAAUUGACGG
rnacentral:rRNA from 1 species